rnacentral:rRNA from 1 species
CUUUCUCCGCCGGCGACCGGCGCACGGGUGAGUAACACGUAUGCAACCUGCCCGUGGCAGGGGGAUAAGCGGGGGAAACCCCGUCUAAUACCGCGUAACGCGGCCUUGGGGCAUCCCAAGGCCGCCAAAGGGAGCAAUCCCGGCCACGGAUGGGCAUGCGGCGCAUUAGCUAGUCGGCGGGGUAACGGCCCACCGAGGCGACGAUGCGUAGGGGUUCUGAGAGGAAGGCCCCCCACACUGGUACUGAGACACGGACCAGACUCCUACGGGAGGCAGCAG